rnacentral:rRNA from 1 species
AUGGCAAAGAGUUCUAGGAAUCACGCAUCCAGGGGGGAGUCCCCUAACCAACGGUCGAACCAGAACAGGGUCGAGGUCCCGGAUCCAAUUGAGAUGGACGUGCCGAUGCGAAGGACGGGCAGAAGCUGGAUCCCGGACUACCAGAACUGGGAUCCACCCAUCGAGGCCCCGAGCCCCCGAGCCGAGCAACCCCCUCCCCCCUCGUUCCAUUCGCCCUCCUCGCUCGAUUCCUUCUGCAAACAGAGGCAGUGCCUCCUCCUCUGUUCUAUCCCUAACCCUAACCCUAAGGCGACGGCGCCGUUGCCCGCGGCUCAGCCUGACCCGCGGCCUCUCCCUUCACCGACGGCGCCAUCUCAUCCGAGUCCGAGCUGGACGAGCACGUGUACAACGGGGAGGCAGCAAGGCCGGCACGCCGUCGGUCCGUCCUUCCCUGGUUCCUCACCGAGUGCCACGAAGAGGAAGAGAGUUUCAGGAGAUGUAGUGAAGGAGAAGGGGAAUGAAGUACUAGUAAUCAAUAGGCACCUUUUCCCCACUGUGCUUGUGAACCAUCAACAGACUAUGAUAGCUUUUUUGGUUUACUAUACUUUGAUAAUGGUGAAGGAGAAGGGGAAUGAGAAGGGAAAGGGUGCUGGUAAGGAGAAUGCGAAGGCGAAGGCAAAGGAGAAGAGCGUGAAUUACCUAAUUAGGCAAGAUUCGGCGCUGCCUCCGCCGGUUCCGAGGAAGAAGAAGAAGCCUAAGGUGCAGAUUAGGAAGGCGAAAGACUUUCCCAAUGCCCCAGCGGGAGAGUUGAUUUGUAGGUUAAAAAAACACCCUCCACCUCCUCCGCGUCUCCCCGACCGCACCGGUGCCGGCGUGCGUGCCGCGGAAGCCGCUGCCUCUGGCUCCGCAACCUGCUCCGAGUUGCCUCAUGCACCUACUAUUGUGGUAGAAGACGAGGAGGAGGAGGACGAGGAUAAGGACGAGGAGAAGGACGAUGAGGAAUAUGAGGAGCAAAAUCUAUUUAUAGUCCCACCACAAGCAAGUGCUGAUAUGUCGGAUGAUGAUACAUCAGAAGGGUAUAAGGAAUCAGCUGAUGAACUGGAAGGUGACACUAUGUCCGAGGAAUCACUUGUGCAUGUUGUUUCUAGUGAGGGGGAUGCAAGAGAAAGGAAAAAGAAAAAGAACAAUAGGCCAAGAGCCAAUGCUCCUGUUAGGAUGUCAUCGGAUGUUUGGGCCCAUUUUUACAAGGUCAAAGAGGCAUCAACGGAGCAUCCCGGAGAGACGGUGUUGAAGGUUGUUUGUAAUUAUUGUCCCAAAAAGAGGUAUGCGUAUACCCAAGGUGGCAGCACAUCAACUAUUGGAAGGCAUAUGUUAAAAUGUGAUGGUUUAAGGGACAAGAUGGCUAGGAAUGCCAUCCAAACAACUCUUGAAUUGCGCAGAAUCAAUGGUCCAACAAGUGGUCCAACAAUGCACCCCUCUAUUGAGUACAACCAAGGAAUCGUUAAGGAGCUUAUUGCUAAGAUGAUAUGUGUGCAUGAGUAUUCAUUUAGAAUGGUUGAACAUGAGUGGUUCAACAUUCUAAUGAAGUGCAUGAAUCCAAAUUAUAAACCCAUUGGAAGGAAGGCAAUACGAGCCGAGUGCAUGAGGGUUGACAAGAACGAAAAAGAGGUGCUUAAAUCUCUCCUAAAGGGUGUGAGCUCCAUAUGUCUAACUACAGAUUUGUGGACAAGCAACCAAACCUUAUCUUACAUGUGUGUGGUUGCACACUAUAUAGAUGGGAAUUGGAACUUACAAACCCGUGUGCUUGCUUUCAUAGAGUUGGGUCCUCCUCACUCUGGAAAUGUCAUUGCGGAUGCUCUCUAUGCGUGUGUGACAGAAUGGAAUAUUGAGACCAAAAUUAUGUCCGUCACACUUGACAACGCUUCAAACAAUGAUGGUGCGAUCGAUGCUUUGAAGGCCAAGUUCUUGUUUCGGAGAGGUAAGAACUUCGAAGGCCAAUAUUUUCAUAUCCGUUGUUGUGCACAUAUCCUCAACUUGGUCGUGCAAGAUGGGACAGCGAUCUUAGAUAAUUUGAUAAACAGCUUGAGAGAGACGGUGAAGUACUUCAAGAGGUCACCUUCUCGUCUCCAUGCUUUUGUUGCCACUUGCAAAAGCUUGGGUGUCAAAGUUGGAAGUUUAUAUCCCACUUCGAACAUCUUCUACCCAUACAUUGUUGGCGUCAAGCUUGCAAUCAAACAUGCAAUGACUAGUGAUAGUGACCACUACAAGGAAAUGGGUGAAGCAAUGUUGGAGAAGUUUGACAAAUAUUGGGAAGAAAAGAACAAUGCCAUGGUGAUCGCAACCAUCUUUGAUCCACGGUACAAGAUUGGUUACAUAGGGAGGGCCUUUGGAGAACUAUAUGGAGAAGGAAGUACGAGGUUUAGAUCUGAGAUCAAAAUCGUGGAGAAAGAGUUGGCGGCCUUGUAUGACAAAUGUGUUGCUCAAGAUAAGCGAGCUGGAAAUGGAGAAAGCUCAUCUUCCUCUACAAACAUUCCUAGUAUCCUGGUUCAAGCUGGGUACGAGUCCUUCUUAUCGUCCUGUUCAACAAGAAUAUCAAAGAGUGAGUUGAGGAACUACUUAGAGGAUGAGGUUGCCCCUCGCAACAAGGCUCUUGAUCUUCUUGGUUGGUGGAAAGACAAUGCUCCUAGGUACCCAAUUAUGGCCAAGAUAGCCAGGAGGUUCCUUACUAUCCCGGCUACCUCCGUCUCUUCGGAAUCUAACUUCAGCACGACCGGAAGGAUUUUAGAUGACUAUAGGAGUUCGUUAAAACCGGUUAUGGUGGAGGCAUUAGUUUGUGGUGCAAGUUAUAUCAAGGGUGCUCAUGUUGACUUGAAUCUGGUGCCGAGGGAUGAGAAUGAAGAGGAUGAUGUUGAGAACAUCAAGUUACCCAUUGUGGUGGAGGAGAUCAAUGAUUGGUAA